AAAUAAGAAGUGAUAAAUUACAUUUAGUUUCGACCUAAAAUUAGGUAUAAAAUACCCUUAUUUU
rnacentral:tRNA from 1 species